GAUGAACGCUGGCGGCGUGCCUAAUACAUGCAAGUCGAGCGAACGGACGAGAAGCUUGCUUCUCUGAUGUUAGUGGCGGACGGGUGAGUAACACGUGGAUAACCUACCUAUAAGACUGGGAUAACUUCGGGAAACCGUAGCUAAUACCGGAUAAUAUUUUGAACCGCAUGGUUCAAAAGUGAAAGACGGUCUUGCUGUCACUUAUAGAUGGAUCCGCGCUGCAUUAGCUAGUUGGUAAGGUAACGGCUUACCAAGGCAACGAUGCAUAGCCGACCUGAGAGGGUGAUCGGCCACGCUGGAACUGAGACACGGUCCAGACUCCUACGGGAGGCAGCAGUAGGGAAUCUUCCGCAAUGGGCGAAAGCCUGACGGAGCAACGCCGCGUGAGUGAUGAAGGUCUUCGGAUCGUAAAACUCUGUUAUUAGGGAAGAACAUAUGUGUAAGUAACUGUGCACAUCUUGACGGUACCUAAUCAGAAAGCCACGGCUAACUACGUG
rnacentral:rRNA from 1 species